UCAAAUCAUAGAUAAUUUAGGCUGAAAAAUCUUUUGUAGGUGGUUCAAUCCCCUUCUCAACACAGGUCUCAUUACUUCAGGUCGCUCGUGCUGUGUCCCGUUCAGUUGAACCCUCCAAAGAUGGAGAUUCUGCAAGUUCUGCUGAGUGCUGAUUGCUGCAAUGCAUUGUAUGAAGAUACGUGGUAACAAGAAGAUAUUUACUGAGAAUAAAGAUCCCAGUUGACACUCUUCACAAUCCCACACUUGGACUGACCCUGUUCCAGCUUGGUUAACCCAGGAAAGCUGCACCCAGUUGUCUUAGGAGUUAAUCUGUAGCUUUGCUGCAAGGGACUGGCUCAGAAGUUACCACACGGAGCGCAGGAGUCAGAGCUGCCAUGGCACCUUAAUGGAAAUAAACGACUCCGCAGAGCCGGCAGCGGGAGGUGGGAGUGGGAAGCAUCCUCAUCCCAGCCCCAGCGGCCGCGUAAAU